rnacentral:rRNA from 1 species
UACGAAGGGGCUAGCGUUGCUCGGAAUUACUGGGCGUAAAGCGCACGUAGGCGGCUUCUAAGUCGGGGUGAAAUCCUGAAGCUCAACUCCAGAACUGCCUUCGAUACUGGAGAGCUUGAGUCCGGGAGAGGUGAGUGGAACUGCGAGUGUAGAGGUGAAAUUCGUAGAUAUUCGCAAGAACACCAGUGGCGAAGGCGGCUCACUGGCCCGAUACUGACGCUGAGGCACGAAAGCGUGGGGAGCAAACAGG